GAAGGACUUGGCAGCUGGCCUGGUGCUCGAAUUGAUCAUCCUCGCACAAGAAGUUUUGACAAAAGGAGCAGCGGAAAAUACGCCCACCUGUUGGGGGAAUGAGACAUGAUGGAGGAAGAGAAAAGACGGUUUCGCGCUUUGUCCAUACGAGCUGCACUGCUGAUCGAAAUGCUCACCUCUGACAUUUAUCACAAUCCUAAACGGCAGGGAGAAAGAAAGCAUCAGUGGUCGUGACACUUAAAAUGGAGAAAGUGAGCCACUGUGAAAUCUCACCAUGUUGACGUUGCAAGGAUGCUUUGCCAAGUCCACCAGGUCCCGGUUGGCUCGGCUCUGCUUCUCUCGUUCCUUUCGAUUCUCCGCCUUUUUACGAGCACCGGUCUUCUUUUUGGGCAUGUUGGCACCCAAAUGACGACAAACCUU